UCAUGAUUGAGAGCUGCCCUUCAUGGCAACAGAAUCCACAACAACAAUGACUUUUAUCAGCAUCUUCAUCUGGGCACUUGUCAUCUGCACUCAGGAAUCCAGUGGACAGUAUACUGUGACUCAGACUCUAGCAGUGAAAUCUGUUCUCCCAGGAGAAACAGUCGCUCUGAGCUGUAAAGUCAGCAGCGCCGUGUACAGCAAUAGUUAUGGCAACUACCUAGCUUGGUACCAACAGAAACCUACAGAAGCUCCCAAACUCCUGAUCUAUGUGGCAAGUACCCUUCAGUCUGGGAUCCCAACUCGUUUCAGUGGCAGUGGAUCUGGGACUGACUUCACCUUGACCAUCAGUGGAGUCCAGGCUGAAGAUGCAGGAGAUUACUACUGUCAGAGUUUCCACUACCCCAGCAGUAGCUGGGUGUUCACACAGUGCUACACACCCGUACAGUUCAGAUGGAACCCUUGUUUAGAAGAAAGGCUGAUGGCAGCUCAAUCUGACUGA